rnacentral:hammerhead_ribozyme from 1 species
AUGCGAAACCCCGGCCCGGCCGGGGUCGUCGAAGGGUAGCGCCUUCGGCCUGAUGAGCAGCUGGAG